GAUGAACGCUGGCGGCGUGCUUAACACAUGCAAGUCGAACGGAGCGGCAGGACGGAAGUUUUCGGACGGAAGGAAUGCCUGCUCAGUGGCGGACGGGUGAGUAACGCGUGGGUAACCUGCCUUAUACAGGGGGAUAACAGUUAGAAAUGACUGCUAAUACCGCAUAACCCGAUAGUGCCGCAUGGCACGGACGGAAAAGAUUUAUCGGUAUAAGAUGGACCCGCGUCUGAUUAGCUAGUUGGUGAGGUAAUGGCCCACCAAGGCGACGAUCAGUAGCCGGCCUGGGAGGGUGAACGGCCACAUUGGGACUGAGACACGGCCCAAACUCCUACGGGAGGCAGCAGUGGGGAAUAUUGCACAAUGGGGGAAACCCUGAUGCAGCGACGCCGCGUGAUUGAAGAAGUAUUUCGGUAUGUAAAGAUCUAUCAGCAAGGAAGAAAAUGACGGUACUUGACUAAGAAGCCCCGGCUAACUACGUGCCAGCCGCCGCAGUAACAC
rnacentral:rRNA from 1 species